AAGUUACUGCUGAAGUUAGGAAUUCCUUGCUCUCCCAUGGGCAUGUGUCAGUAAAGAGACGAGACACACAGAGACCCUCAGAUCAAAGGCUGAUACAAUGAUACAAUCCCCGGACUGCGCUGAAACCAUCAGGCUGCCACACAGCAGUUACAGUCAUCUCCUGAUCUGUCUUGAAAAUAGAGACAAAGCCCAAUAAUCUGGAAGGAAAAAACCACAUACACAGUCUUGCUCUGUCACCUGGGGCUGGAGCGCAGUGAUAAGAUCUCGGCUUACUGCAACCUCCACCUCCUGGGUUCAAGUGAUUCUCCUGUCUUUGCUUCUCGAGUAGCUGGGACUACAGGCGCAUACCACCACACCUGGCUAAUUUUUUAUACUUUUAGUAGAGAUGGUGUUUCACCAUGCUGGCCAGGCUGGUCUUUCAAAUGAUCUGCCCGCCUCGGCCUCCCAAAGUGCUGGGAUUACAGGUGUGAGCCACUGCACCCAGCCAAAAAUUCCAAAUUGCAAGAAUUUCACUCUGUCGCCCAGGCUAGAGUACAGUGGUGUCAUCUUGGCUCACUGGAAGCUCCACCUCCCAGGUUCAAGCAAUUCUCAUGCCUUGCCCACCUGGGGCAGCUAGGAUUACAGGUGCACGCCAACAUGCCGGCUAAUGUUGUAUUUUUAGUGAAGAUGGGGUUUCGCCAUGUCCACAUGUCCUUCACCACGUCCACGUGUCCUUCGCCAUGUGUUGGCCAGGCUGGUCUUGAACUACUGGCCUCAAGUGAUCUGCCUGCCUCGGCCUCCCAAAGUCCUGGAUCACAGGUAUGAGCUCACACCCCCAGCCUGAGUUUGAGUCUUGCUUUACCUUAUCCCACCCAUCCCUGCCACAGGUUAUCCACAGGUACCCUCGCAGACCAGGUGGUGCCCUGACGUCUGAUGAGUAAGUCGUAAGAAAUGAGGCUCCCACAUGCAAUUCUGUUCUCAGGAGCCCCACCCUGACAAUGCUGCGAAGCCAGGGAAGUGGUGAUCUGAGUUAGCAUUCUCCUGAUGUCCCUUUUUCUUCCUUUUGUAUUGUUUUUUAAAGAGGGUCUUGCUCUGUCACCCAGGCUGGAGUGCAGUGGUGCCAUCACAGCUCACGGCAGCCUUGAGAUUCUGGACUCAAGGGAUCCUCCCACCUCAGCCUCCCACGUAGCCGGGAUUACAGCUAUGCACCACCACACCUGGCUAAUUUUUAUUGUUAUUUUUUAAAAUAUUUUGGUUGAGAUGGAGUCUCGCUUUGUUGCUUGCACGCAGAGCAGACUGAACCCAACCCACAGUGGGGCACCAAGCUGGUCUCAAACUCCAGGACUCAAGCGGUCCUCCCUCCCCAGCCUCCCAGAGUACUGGGAUUACAGGUGAGAGUCACGAUCAACUUGGCCUUUGUUUUUUGUUGUUGUUUUUUCUCAAUUUUAGAAAAUAUCUCAUCUGGAAUAUCCCACCUGAGAGACUUCCAGAGUAGAAAUAAACAUUCUUGAAUAAUAAACCAAACCCUUGGGAAAUGUAAACUUUUGAGAAAGGAAUUCAGUGAGCACAGAUCUUCAACACUAGCAAGCAUAGGUAAAGGAAAGCAACAUCCCCGUGGCAAACAGAAUCAAAGAUCAAAGUUCUCUACUGUAUCUACACCUUCUGCCAUGUGACUUUGCUGCUCCUUCCACUGGAGGCAGAAGGUAACAGAUUUCCUACUGGACCGGGGCCACAGGAAUUGCUCGAGCUAAUGGAACGUGAGUAAAAAGGAAGUACAUGAGGUCUAGACUUAAUUUAAGAGGCACUGCAUGUUUCUGCCCAGCAGUCUUGGAAUAAAUACUGCCACUGCCAUUAGAAGAAUAUGCUGUACUGAUCUGAGGAAGCUGAGAGAGGUGGGGAGCCCCAGUACCAAGCGGAGCUCAGCCCAGCCUGCCCCAGCAGACCCUAACUGACUCCUGGACACAAGAGCAAAAACAAUUAUUAUUUUUUUUGAGAUGGAGUCUCGCUCUGUCACCCAGGCUGGAGGGCAGUGGCACCAUCUUGGUUCACUGCAACCUCCACCUCCCUGGUUCAAGCGAUUCUCCUGCCUCAGCUUCCCAAGUAGCUGGGAUUACAGGCACCUGCCACCACAUCUGGCUAAUUUUUUGUAUUUUUUAGUAGAGACAGGUUUUCACCAUGUUGGCCAGGCUGGUCUCAAACUCCUGACCAUGUGAUCCGCCCGCCUCGGCCUCCCAAAGUACCGGGAUUACAGGUGUGAGCCAUUGCACCCAAACAAAUUAUUGUAAUUUUAAAGCACUAAGCUUUGUGGUGACCACACGAUGGCAAAAGAUAACCAAUAUCUGCUUUGCUGUUUCAUUGCUAUCUGCCUUACAUUUCUAGAAGUGUAGGAAUCCAAAUGAGAGAACUCUACAAAAAAUAGAGUCAACACACUCACGGGCUUACUCCAACAGAAGCCUGUGCUGCAGAGACGCACUGAGGAGACCUGCCUCGCACAGACUCAGCUCCGGUGCAGUAAAUGAAAUGAAGAAAAGCCUGCCUAAGUGUAGGGCUGGAGUCGGAAUUUACACCCAAUGUGUGUUCAAAAACACCCAAAAUCUAUUUCUACGACCCUUUGGGCUGGUAAUACCUCAGGUACCUGGAGAAAUAAAACUCGAGUCCUUUCUGAAGGAAGGUCCUUUAAACUCAAGACUCAAAAAUUCCCCAGAGAUAAAAUUCUAAGGAAUAUAAAUCCUAAUUUUAAAAUUACUGUAGCUAACUCAACACAAAUACAUCUUUCAAAAAGUAACAUUUAGAAAAUGAACAAAUUGAGAGAAAUACAUACUAUACACCAUUGAUAUAAAGUUCAGAAGGAAGCACUGCUAAGCAAUAUCUUUUUUAAAUAUUUAAUAUGUUGUAAAAAAGAAACUACAGUACUAUCAAGGGGUUGAUUAACACUAAAUUCAGCACAGAGGAUAGCUUUGAUGGGAUAGAGGGGAAGGAACGGUGAGGGAAGCAGCUUCGGAUACAGGACUUCAGAACUACGGUUACUAUCCUCAAGCUUGGUGGAGGGUACGUGGAUGUCUUUUCACUACUAUUCUUUAAACUUUUUUUUGUUAGACAGAGUCUUGCUUUCUCUCCAGGCCGGAGUGCAGUGGCACAAUCUCAGCUCACUGCAACCUCCAUCUCCCCAGUUCAAGCAAUUCUCCUGCCUCAGCCUCCCGAGUAGCUGGGACUACAGGUGUGCACCACCAUGCCCAGCUAAUUUUUGCAUUUUUAGUAAACACAGGGUUUCACCAUGUUGGCCAGGAUGGUCUCAAUCUCUUGACCUUGUGAUCUACCCUCCUUGGCCUCCCAAAGUGCUGGGAUUAUAAGCAUGAGCCACCGCACCCGGCCUACUAUUCUUUAAACUUUAUCUCUACACUACAUAGACUUUUUUGCACACAGGUUUUACAAUAAAAGUAAAAUAAAAGAGAGGCUGCACAGGUACCAGACAACCUACAGCCCAAGUCUGGACAGUGUCACAGAGCGGUGACGGCCCAUGGCCAGCAAGGGUUUCCAGUGGUGACCUUCAGGUGACCUUCCUCUUUUCCAAGCGGUGAAAAGAACAAAAGAGAUGGUGGAAGGUACUUAUGAGUGGUUGAGAAGGCCGCACUCCAGCAAGAAAGCACAGAGGAUGUUAAGAACUGAUACUCGGGCGUGGGUGGUUUGGGCAUGCUGUGUCGGUGGCCGUGUGGCUCUCUGGUAACCAUGCGUAGUUUUUGACCAUGACCUCUGGGCUGGGAUGAUCCAUGCUCCAGGUGGUGGCAGGGAGAGCCAGGCUGGAACCACGGCCAAUAUGUGACAGCAGCUGGACUGACCAGCGUAGCUGCAGAAUCUGCAGGCCGGUAGAUGUUGAAGCCAGGAAGCACGUGGAGCCUCAAGUGAUUCAAAAUCCACCAAAACCUGCCUUCCAGGUGGCUACGACAGAGGUGGGUUUUCUUGACUUCAGCCAGUUAUGAGUUCUUUACAGACACAUCUGGCUGCAAAACAACCUGGGAGCACAUUUCUUAGCAUAGUUCCCUGCAAUGGGAACAGUGGCUAAUAUUCCAAGAUCCUUUCCCAUCUCCCCCAAGAGGGCUACGUGCUCUGUAAGCACAGCAGAGGCUUCGUCAGGAACUGCCCGCCACACACGUUGCAUGAAAGCUGCGCUCUAAACAGAAUGAGUCCGAGGAGAGCCUGGGCUGUGGCCUUCACAUCCAGCUGUUUUGAAAUGGAUUCAUUCAUUACUCCUGCAUGGGGCAAGUCUCAUAGUGGUUCCCUGGCACUUCAUUCAUCCAAGAGAUCAGUGAGUCUCCAUUUCAUAGUCCGGAAAACAGAAAGAUGGGCUAACUUUCUAAAAGUUAAACAGCAAGCAUGUGGCAGAGCUGGGGCUGAAACUAAUGAGCCCAGUGUCCUGGUCCCAGAAAGAAGCUUCCCUUCUUUAGAGAGGAAAAGCAGAAUACAAGAAAUGCAUCACGACAGAGUGUGAACGCGUGAGGGUAGGAGUGCCUAGGGCUUCUUUUCCAGGGAAUCCCCAUCACCAAAUUUCAUCUUCAUCUUUCCUUCUAACAAAUUAAGACUUAGAAAGCAUAUUGACUAUUUCCCAGGCUAGACUUCUAGGAGGAAAAAUCAAUUUCUGAUUCAGGAAAGGAGCUACUCACGCCAAACAGAAAGCAGAGAGCUUCGUGUCGAGGCCAUUGAUUUAGGCCGGAAAUUCUGAAUGCAAAGGAGUGAGAUAAAGGAGCGCCGAAAAUGGUAAGUGACGCAAAAUAAAGGGCAGCCUUAAUAAGUCCGUGACUUGAAAAGGGGUCACCCUGGCAGUGCGGAGAAAUGAAGAGUCCGCGGAGGAUAAUGUAUGAAAUGAGUCCUGCUGACUGAGACACGAGAAAGAGGGCGCAGGCGACAGGGAGCGAACAACACAGGUAAAUCGUUCCCCACACAUCUGUGCACGGCGUAGUCUGAAGUGUGAUUUCUGUGGCAACACUUGGGGAAAUUACAGCACUCUAAUGUAGGUGCAGUUCUUCCUUUUGUUAUUACGCCCCCUCCCUUUUCCCCCUGCCUGCACAUUUUUACCCACUCCCCAUAUUUAAUCAUUUCACCCCACCCCUUCCUAACUUCUCCCCUCUGUGCUUUGCCAGGAGCCAUCAGUGAAAUGGAGACAGCGGCCUAGGAUGGAAGAACUGGCAGGAUGCUGGCCACGAAAGGCGACCAGCACCUACAACAGAUGCGCGUGGCCAGGAAUGAGCUUUUAGCGCCCCGUGGUUCUCUGAAGCCCCAGGGGCUCUUCAAACUCCCGUCCUCCCUGCACGUCUGCUCCAAGCCCCCGUCCACCUGCCAGGCACUGUGACUGCAGCAACUGCUGCGCCCAAGAAGAGCACUCAUCGGCAGAAACAGCUGGGCAAAGAACGGCGUCAGGAGAGACAGGGAAGCAGGAACACAGUUGUGGGUUCAUGAGGCUCCUUUUCCUUUCCCUGUUGUUGUUAAGCGGCAAAGCAUUUUUUUCCAAACAAAAUCCUUUAUUAAUUCCCCUAAAAAUAACCCAUCUAAAACUUGUUGACCGGGUACAGUGGCUACGCCUGUAAUCCCAGCACUUGGGGAGGUUGAGGCAGGUGGAUCAUCUGAAGUCAGGAGUUGGAGAACAGCCUGGCCAAUAUGAUGAAACUCCGUCUCCAUUAAAAAUACAAAAGUGAACCAGGCGUGGCGGCACGUGCCUGUGAUCCCAGCUAUUCGGGAGGCUGAGACAGGAGAAUCACUUGAACCCGGGAGGCAGAGGUUGCAGUGAGCCGAGAUCGCGCCAUCGCACUCCAGCCUGGGCGACAAGAGCAAAACUCCAUCUCAAACAACAACAACAAAAACGUUGUUUUGGUUAAUUAGACCAGGAGUCUGGAGCCACACAGGUUCAGCCUUCACCCUGCACACUCCCCAGACGUAGCCCCCAGGGCACUCCAGGGAGCAGGAAGAGCACCUUCAGGGAACGCAGGGCACUAAGGCUGAGCAGAAAUCCCCAGUCAGAACACCCCUGUGGAGAGCAGCCGCAGACGCAGGCGGCCCAACUGAGUGACCAGCUGGGUCAGGCUGCUGACCCAAAAGCAGGUCUAACGGCCCCAGAUGUUGACAGUAAAACCCCCAAACUCACUUCCUUUGUUCACUCGUUCCCUGGGGCUGCUGUAACGAUCGCCCCAAGCUUGCCAGCAGGGAGGAACAGAAAUGCAUUCUCUCAUGCCUCUGGAGGCCAAAAGUCCAACUUCAAAAGUGUCGCCACAGUGAGCUCCUUCUGGAGAGCCUAAGAGAGGACCCGUUCCACACCUCUCUCCCAGCGUCUGCUGGCUGCCAACAGUCUUUGGCACUCCUUGGCCUAUGAAGACAUGUCUCCAGUGUCUGCCUCUGGCUUCACGUGGCUCCUCCUCUGUGCUUCUGUCUCCUCCAUUUCUGUCUCUCUUGACACUCAUCACUGAAAUCAGCUUCCCCCAAUCUAAGAAGAUCUCACCUCGAGAUCCUCACCUUAAUGACAUUCGUAAAGACUAUUCCAGGAGGUGACUUUGGCAACAUGGCAAAAUAGGAAGUCCAAGACCCUCUUUGUCCCUACAGAGACACCAACUCACAAAAAUAUAUAGAAUAAUUCCCCUUGUGAGAAACAGAGAAACCAACGAAGAGGCUCCUGCCCCUGAGCUAGUGCAAAAGCAGCUGAUGAAGCUGGCAGGGAAACUCACGGUCGACUCAGCACAGUCCCGCCCCGAGGCCAGCACGGUAUGGCCAAGAGGAAACUUCCAGCUUCUCGCUCCUCCCUGGACCAUAGUACAAUGUUAAGACUUUACAAGGGGACUGCCCAGGGGAUGGCUUAGAACAGGAAAGGGCACCCGGUCAAGGGCUGCUGAGAAUAAAGGAAGGGGUUUAGAUCAGCAUGUUCCGAUUUGCCAUAGUCCAUGCUCUCCAGCUCGGCACAAAAUAAGCAGGAGAAAACCCCUAACUCCUGGCCUCUCCCUGCGGGGAGAAAGUUAGAGCACGCGUUCAAAGUUCUAGCUUUUCAGGGAGAAUUUUUUUUUUGAGACAGGAGUCUCGUUCUGUCACCCAGGCUGGAGUGCAGGGGUGCAAUCUUGACUCACUGCAACCUCUGCCUCCUGGGUUCAAGUGAUCCUCCUGCUCAGCCUCCUGAGUAGUUGAGAUUACAGGCACCUACCAGCAUGCCUGGCUAAUUUUGGUAUUUUUAGUAGAGUUGGGGUUUCACCAUGUUGGCCAGGCUGGUCUCAAACUCCUGACCUCAGGAGAUCCACCUCAGCCUCCCAAAGUGCUGGGAUUACAGGCGUGAGCCACCGUGCCUGGCCCAGGGAGAAUUUUUAAAGCAGCAAAAGAAAAGCAACUUGUCACAUACAAUGAAGCCCCUAAAAGGCGAUCAGUGGGCUUCACAGCAUAACCCUCGCAAGCAAGAAGCAAGUGAGAUAAUACGUUCAAAGUGCUGAGAGAAUAAAAACCUGUCACGUUCCAAGAAUAAAGACUCUCCCAAAUAAGCAAAAGCAGGAGUUCCUCGCUACUAGACUGACUUUACAAGAGUUACUAAAGGCAGUCCUUCAAGAUGAAAUGAAGGCAUGCUUGAUAGGAAAAGAAAAGCAUACAAAAGCACAAAGUUCACUACUAAAGGUAAACAUAUAGACAAAUACAGAAUACUCUAAUAUGUAGCAGCCGUGCGUAAAUCACUUUUAAUUCUGGAAUGGAGGUUAAAAGACAAAAGUAUCCAGCCAUCUGAUCUUUGACAAGCCUGACAAAAACAGCAACGGGGAAAGGAUUCCCUGUUUAAUAGAUGGUGCUGGGAGAACUUGCUAGCCAUGUGCAGAAAAUGGAAACGGGACCAAUUCCUCACACCUUAUUCAAAAAUACUCAAGAUGGGUUAGAGACUUAAAUGUAAGACCUAAGACCAUAAAAACCCGAUAAGAAAACUUCGGCAGUAACACUCAGGACACAGGCAUGGGCGAAGACUUCAUGACUGAAAUACCAAGAGCAACGGCAACAAAAGCCAGAAUUCACUAAAGGGAUCUAUUUAAACUAAAGAGCUUCUGCACAGCAAAAGAAACUAUCAUCGGAGUGAACAGGCAACCUACAUCAUGGGAGAAAAUCUUUGCAAUCUACCCAUCUGACAAAGGGCUAGUAUCCACAUUCUACAAGGAACUUACACAAAUUUACAAGGAAAAAAACCCCAUCAAAAAGUAGAAGGAUAUGAACAGACACUUCUCAUAAGAAGACAGUUAUGCAGCCAACAACAUAUGAAAAAAAGCUCAUCACUGGUCAUUCGAGAAAUGCAAGUCACAACCACAAUGAGACACCGUCUCACACCAUAGUGAUCAUUAAAAGUCAGCAAACAGCAGGUGCUGGAGAGGAUAUGGAGAAAUAGGAACGCUUUUACACUGCUGGUGGGCAUGUAAAUUAGUUCAACCAUUGUGGAAGACAGUGUGGCGAUUCCUCAAGAGUCUAGAACCAGAAAUUCCAUUUGACCCAGCAAUCCCAUUACUGAGUAUAAACCCAAAGGAUUAUAAAUCAUUCUACUAUAAAGACACAUGCACACGAAUGCUUAUUGCAGCACUGUUUACAAUUGCAAAGACUAGCAACCAACUCAAACGCCCCUCAAUGAUAGACAGGAUGAAGAAAAUGUGGCACAUAUAUACCAUGGAAUACUAUGCAGCCAUAAAAAAGGAUGAGUUCAUGUCCUUUGCAGGGACAUGGAUGAAGCUAGAAACCAUUAUUCUCAGCAAACUAACACAAGAACAGAAAACCAAACACCACAUGUUCUCACUCAUAAGUGGGAGUUGAACAAUGAGAACACAGGACACAGGGAGGGGAACAGCACAUAC